UAUAUAGAUUGAUAUUAGCGAAAUUUGAAAUUUCAUUACAGACUAAGGCAUAGCGAAUGUGUUUGGAAAUAUACACAUUGUAAGAAUGGACCAACUAAAUACUAGCAUAAAAAAAAGGAUAAUCAGCAAGAGGGAACGAAAAAUCGCCUCUUUUGUAGAAACAAAAAUGUGUUUAUAUUUGUCUGUGUGAAAAUGAAAUGACCAAACCUAGAAAAGGUUAUGCAGGAUAUGCGUGUAGGAGGAGUGGAGGAAUUUGUACGAAAAGCUAUUGUUCAAAGGGGUAUUUUGAGGACCAUUUACCACACGAAGACUGUUAUUAUACUGAAAGAUGUUGUCUUCCCUUGUGGCAUCAAAAGCAGUCCAAUUUUCCAAGUUACUAGGUCGCUCAGCGUGAAAUGACAACGUCAAAG